AGGACAAUUUUUUAACAUCUGACCUCAAAUCAGGUAGGACUACCCGCUGAACUUAAGCAUAUCAAUAAGCGGAGGA
rnacentral:rRNA from 1 species